GGGCAUCGGAAACCGGGCGACUUGAGUGCAGAAGAGGACAGUGGAACUCCAUGUGUAGCGGUGGAAUGCGUAGAUAUAUGGAAGAACACCAGUGGCGAAGGCGGCUGUCUGGUCUGCAACUGACGCUGAGGCUCGAAAGCAUGGGUAGCGAACAGGAUUAGAUACCCUGGUAGUCCAUGCCGUAAACGAUGAGUGCUAGGUGUUGGAGGGUUUCCGCCCUUCAGUGCCGGAGCUAACGCAUUAAGCACUCCGCCUGGGGAGUACGACCGCAAGGUUGAAACUCAAAGGAAUUGACGGGGGCCCGCACAAGCGGUGGAGCAUGUGGUUUAAUUCGAAGCUACGCGAAGAACCUUACCAGGUCUUGACAUCUUGCGCUAACCUAAGAGAUUAGGCGUUCCCUUCGGGGACGCAAUGACAGGUGGUGCA
rnacentral:rRNA from 2 species